rnacentral:rRNA from 1 species
AGCAGUCGCCGCGGUAAUACGGAGGGUGCAAGCGUUAAUCGGAAUUACUGGGCGUAAAGCGCACGCAGGCGGUCUGACAAGUCAGAUGUGAAAUCCCCGGGCUUAACCUGGGAACUGCAUUUGAAACUGUCAGGAUGGAGUCUUGUAGAGGGGGGUGGAAUUCCAGGUGUAGCGGUGAAAUGCGUAGAGAUCUGGAGGAAUACCGGUGGCGAAGGCGGCCCCCUGGACAAAGACUGACGCUCAGGUGCGAAAGCGUGGGGAGCAAACAGGAUUAGAUACCCCUGUAGUCCCUGUCUCUUAUAC